UCUGUAUUUCUCAUCUUCCCA
rnacentral:miRNA from 1 species